GUCUCCUCUGAGGAACGUUAGCAUGGCUGAGGCUGCAGAAACAAAGAGGACCAAAGCUGUAUGAACCCACAUAAUGGAGCGAGUCGAUGAAAACACCAAUACCAACAGGUCAGAAGGAAACUCUUCAAAGCUGUGUGUGUGUUUCAAGCCUGUAGACUCAAAUAUUACCAUCAUAUGUUAUCAUGUGUUUCAGGUUGUAAUUGCUGUAAACUUUAGCGGUUUGGCAAAUGACGGUAAUUUCACCACUCCCUGACUGAUAACAGACAACAGAAAGUAAAUGGAAAUUCAUCUCUGGAAGUUUCACCUUUUUUACGCCCUUUUCUUGUCUGUUGAGGUUUUAUUUGCCACCUGACUUCCUAGAGAUGCAUCCAUGCUGUUCAACUUCCUGCUUAAAGCCAUACAAUCUCUCUGAAGUUGUCUGUGAUCCAUUUUACCAUCUAAAAGCAGAGUUCGGAUUCUUCUUCUUUCUCUGUACUAACUUACUUUUGUGGAACUCAGUAUGUCUUCAGUGUUGCACCAAGUCCUACAGUCCAUAUCAGCCAGUGGUUCACUGCGUGCGUGCGUGUUUGUUUGUUGAAUCCCUCACUGCUGCUGAGGAAUGUAAAAUUUAACCUCAUAACCUCGUGACCUCUCACCUAGAUUUACCCUGAGAACAAGAAGCUUAAUGCGUGUGUGUUCACUUCAUCAAUAGAGCUGAGCUUUAUUAAACUCUAACAAAGAGUGGACAGUUGAGCUGUCACGGGACUUAUUGGAGGUCAGCCGCAAGUGUUACUUCAAAGGGAAAUUCAAAGAUUUUGGUAGCAUAGCACAAUAUGCUGUGGGUUCUUUUUUUGCAAUAAGGGCUGAAUCAUAAUGUUACAUGAUGAGUUUAAGCAAGAACAAAACACAAAAAGUUAUCCAUUUGUCCAAUUAAUGCAAGACUGACUAUGAAUUAGGGUCCACGUUUGGCCAUUUUGAGAGAUGGUCCCCUUUUGGUACAUAGGACAGUAGAUAUGUGUGGGUAUUUUUGCAAUAGAGGGCAGGCCUGGGUGUUUUAUGACAACAUACUCUGAAAUUGUGGCUUGACUAUCAACCUUUCAUGAGCAAUUGUUUGAGGAAAAAGUUGCUAAAGUCUGUCUAAUUCUCCCACAACCACCUGAUUCUGUUUCUCCCUUUGACCCACAAUCCUCUGGGAUGAAACAGACUCUCUCCCACACAACUGAGCUGACUUCUCAGGCUAAUUGGAUCCUGCCAUGGUAGUCUGCUGACAUAUCUGUGACCUUUGACCUUAGUGAAGCACAUGGCAAUGAUAACAGAGAUGUGCCCAACACAUUUGGGAGGGAAAUCAAUGUUUUUGUUCUUGCCUUGUUUGAUCUGAUGAAAUCUUCACAAAUGCAUCACCCAGUUCAUUAAAUUACAAGUCAACAUGUAUCCUGUUUUUGCUUUUGAAUAAUCUGAACCAGCUGCAGCAUCAAUCCCUGGCUCAAAGAGAUUUUUUUAAAUAGACUGUGACCUUUUUUUGUAGUUGAACCUUUUGACAUGGUACCCCAUGGAGGAUGAAUCCCUUUGGAGCUUGCCUCAAGUGGCCAUUUGAGGAACUGCAGUUUGUGUACUUUUGAACUGGCUUCAUUCAAUCAAUCAUUCAAUCAUUCAAUCAUUCAAUCAUUCAAUCAACCAAUCAACCAAUCAAUCAAAACUUUAUUUAUAGAGCACGUCUUAUACACGGACAUGCGACACAUUGUGCUGUACAAACUUUACACUGGACCUAAAGCACAUUGGAUUCUGGGCCUCUCAGAUCGUCCUUCAGACUCUGGGACCUUGACAGGACUUUGGAACCCUGAGUAUUAGUCUUGUUCUUUGUCUUUGUAGCCCACGUGAGACCCUUAUGUCUCAAUGAUUGCACUGGAGGUCCUGGAACAGCAACAUUAUCACAUUUUUCUUUAUGUAUUAAUCUUUCUCUUCUGGUCCACCAAGUGACCUAGGUUUCAUCAGUUACACAUUUUUCUCUGCUUGAGUAGGAACUGAGUAAUCCUGGAACUGGAGAUCCUCCGUCACUUUCAUGUGAUGAUGUGAUGCAUGGUGUGGGUUGUGUAUUACAUGAUCAGACACAUGCUGUGCCUACACCCAGACUGUGUCACCACCUGCAGUUGCAGAGAGUUUCAACUGCCAAAUCAUGUGCAACAUGAGACAAUUCCCCAACUGAGGGUUUUACGUUAAUAAUGCAAGCAGACACAAUCAUCUAAUCAGACAUGCAGACAGAUUAAUGUGCUUCCUUCACACACUCAUAAGUGUUAGGUCUGGAUUUUUAUGCAGCUAUAGGAACAAGGACACACCUAAAAAUGAACCUCACUGUUAUUACUUUACAAACACAUUUAGUCCUAAUUAUGGCAAGAACCAUGUAUGAUAAUGUACACACCGUAUUGGCAAAACUCCCCCUAUAAGUAAAACCACCUGUUCUGGUGUCUAAUAAUCGGUGCCACAAUAUGCAGGCCUGCUCAUCGUACUUUAAGUCUGUAAAAGUGGUCUGGGUGGAAAAUCGUUCAGUUAUAAGGCCCUUCUGGAGCAUUCUGGAAGUUCCAUCUUGGUAUAUAUUUAUGCUUGUGACAAAGACCAAAGAGAUACAGAGUGAAUUAAGUCUCUAGUUGAUCUGUUUUUGGUGUAUUUUUGGCUGAGAUUAUGGAGAAACCCUGAUGUGUUCUCCUGCUCAUGCUGUGGUCUGAAAUAUCUGUUUACAUGCCUGUCGAUCACUAGCAGCCAUAACACUUCCAGCAAAAUCAGGGUUAACAUAGCAAACUGAACCGAACAGUAGUGAAUGAAACCAGACCCCAGAAAGCAGAAAGGAUUAGUUUGAGGGAUCUGAAAUCAUCACAUCUUUCUGUUUUUCUGUUUAAAUGUUUGAAAACAAACCUCUUGAUUUUGAGUUGAUUCUGGACAAAAUGAAAUAUUGAAAGACUUCACUUGAGGAACUAUAAAAAUUCCCUAUUUUAUGACUUUGAACGGGAGAAAUUUCUCUGUUUCUCUUUGAUCAUUAAGGUUAGAAUAUAUGAGUUCAUCCAGGGCUACUGUCAGCAGCUUAUUUCCUUGAAAGCAGCAUUUUUCCAGCAGGACACUGGCCAAACACACAAUGCUGUGAACCAUUGGAGUCACUAACAUGACCACCAUCACAGUUAUCCUCUGAAAUCUGAAGGUAUUCUUUAAUCUUUUUAAAAAUAUGGAUGGUUUAGGAGUCACAUUCGUGGAUCUUUGGUGACAACAAAGGUUAAGAGGAGAGGAUGUGAAAAGUUAGCCCUGGUUUCUGAAGACUGUCUGUCUGGAAUAUGUCCAGAGAACAUUUUGUCUUCCAGAUGCACAACAGAUUGCACAACACUGUAAAGCUGCCUGCAGUUAUGAGAAAAAAUAUUUGAUGAAACCAUCAGCCUUUUUUUUUUGUUUGGCCGAACAUUAGAUUGAGCAGAAAUAAUGAAAUACAUGCCUCUUUUACACAAAAACUCUGGUCAAUUUCAGGGGUAAUAAAGUCCUGAAAUUUUCUGGACCAGCCUUUUGUUUUUGUCUCAAGGGUGAGUAAUAGGGACUGUUUCUAUGUUUAUAUCACUAUGACAAGUACAAGGACAAUUCCAAAAUCCAGAAUAACAAGACAGAGAGCUAAGCUUGACUCAGAUCCAGUCAUGUCUCCGCUAACUCUCUUGCUAUAUAUUUUUCUGGGAUUUACCAACUGUCAUGGGCUCACCCUGACAUUACACAGAUUUCUCCAAGGUGGUUGAGAACAUUUUGGGUUAAGUUUUGUUGUGAAAAUCCACACAGUGGGAAUUAUGCCACUGCCCCAACCCAAGCUGGCAAAAACUUUUCAGACCCCAGCACACUUAUUCCAUCAGAUCACCCUAAAUUUGCAAAAAAUUUAAUUGGUCACAUCGAGAACAAUUUUGGACAAAUUAAGGGUGUCUGAAAAUGUAUUUGAUGUCAAAAUGUCACUCACUUUCCCAACUCAGUUUUUUAAACAUUGACAUACUUAUCACAUCAGCUAAACCUGACUUUGCACAAACUUUCAUUAAGGGGCUGAAAAAACAUUUGGCUAAAGUCAGGUUGUUUGGAACUCCACCCAGUACAAAUAAUGUUGAAUAGAGACACUGUCCCACUCAUUUGCAAGACUUUGUUCAGAUUUUUAUAUAAGGGGCCAGAAGUAAAAUUUUGGAUAAAGUCAGGGUGGCAAGGACAGGGACAAAAACUAAAACCAUUGGUUUUUUUUUUUAGUGGAGGGUCUCUAAACUGGCACAGAGGAUUGGGUUGCAGCCAUUGUAGCCUGUAUUCCAGACUUAGUAAUCUUCUCACAUUGUUUGGAGCUGUUGAUUAUUUACACAACUGAGUGUAUGACAACAAGGCUUAGGUUUAAAAAUACCAGUAUUAGCCUUUAAUGACUGGGACAUCCGCCUUCCCUGACCAUGAAGGACCUUGCUAAUGGCUUUCUUCGGUCAGGAGCAGCUUAGCUGAACAUCUGAAUGAAUGUUGUUGCUAUGAAAAGAGCUCAGAGGAACUUAAGUACAUUGACAUGUUUGUUUACCCGCCUGCUGUCGAGGGAUUCCUGUCUUUAAAGGUCAUGGUGGGGGAAGACUCUUAGCGAGAGUACAGAGACUCUGUGUUCUUACAUCGUCUUAAGCCACGGCUGAUAUAUAGGUCAGGUAAUCUGAGGUGAUGGAAACACCUGCGGCUACCUGAUCGGAAAACCUCCAUCAGUCCAUCACCUCUACAGUCCUUCCUUCUUACAGUUUCCAACAAGACCAGGACCUUAAGCUGCAACAGUCCUGCCAGAGGACUGGAAAAACAAGCAUGUCUCAGGGCUUGUAUCUGUGAUUCAAUCAGCCAUACAGGGGAGGGAAAGUUUCCAAGAACACUCAAAGCAGGAGCAGUCAUGUCCAUCACACACCAGGUUUUCUUCUCCUGAAUGACUUCUGCUGACCAAGGGAAAGCUCAGUCUUUAAAUCCCCUCCUGCAUGUCGUAAUCUGUCCGUCUAGAGUCACACGCCUCUCAUGACAGCAUGACACAGUGACCUCUGACCCUUUAAGAUCCACCAGACGGCACCUGUGGCCUCAAAAAGCAGCUUUACUCCUCAGCCUGCCAACAGGGAUUCCGUAAUAAGUCCUCUGAUUGUCUGAGCUGAUCGGCUCAGGGAACCAAACUCAGCCAAGAUUCCACUGCCGAUCACAGCCUGGCCUCCACAUCCAGAAGCUGAAAGUACCCUGGGCCCUGGUGUCAAAAAUCUGAUUAUUUAAUUUUAAACAGGCCAAAAGUUUUGGUCAACAAAAUUGAAUACAAAGCUAACAUCAGCUUUAGAAGGGAUAUUGACAAACGUUUGUCCUCUUCGCUAGCCUAGGUGAGGGUAUGCCUCACGCAAUGAAUAGAUUUUAUCUGAACAACAUGUAGAUAAACUGAUUGUAAUGAACUGUUCCAUCAUUGGACCUGAGUAAAUGAGUUACAGUGGGGAAUAAUAUUAUACAGAUGACAUUAAAAAAUUGCAGGUCAAGGUCAAAAUGUGUCCACCUGCUUUCUUUUUGCUGCUUUGUGGUCUGUAGAGCCUGCACAGAUGGAUUCUACUUGAUCAGUUCUUAGUUCCUGUCUUGGGUCAAAUUUCUUUACUCUAAGCUGCUGCAGGUUUUUUCAGAUUUCUGAGGGAACAGUCACCGGUCUUCAGAGGACAAAGAGUCCAGGAUGUUAGCCAGCCGUGAUGGCUAACAGAGGAGGUGUUUGUUUUUGAUUUUGGCUCCAUAGAGGAGCUUCAGUGACUGCAACUCUCUUUUCUCCUGUUACACAGCUCUGUCCUGUUUUUAAUACAAGCCAGAAAGAGGAAUGCUUUGAGUUCUCACACAAAAAACCUCCAAACCCUGGAGUUAACUAUUCAUAAAUAGGGGGAGAGGCAGGGGAGGGAGGGACAGAGAUUUGGAUGAUUUGGGAGGUCUGUCAGAAUGACUAAAAGCUCCUGCUUUACAGCUGAAACCUUUCCAGCCCAUCCAAGUGUGAUUCUUGGACUGUGUUUGGUCUGCAGAGAUCUAUGAAAGAGAGAAGAAGAAUUUGAUUUCUACGCUGACUGGUAGUUGUGGUUUCUGGCAGAAAGGAUGCUCAGAUUUUUAUUCAAUCCCUUGGAUGUUAGCCAAUCUCCCGUCUUUGGUGAUGGUUAAAACUCUGUUAAAUGUGAGUGUGUGCUGAUCUGGGCAGGCUAAUGAGGACAGCACAUCAAAGCAAACAGAUUUGAGGUUUGACGGGGAAGAGAGAAAGAUGGACAGAGGUGUUAACAGGAUUCAGGUUUUCGUUUUAAAUAUUUUUAAAUGUUUUUAAUAAUUUAGUUUAAAAUUUUUCUUUUAAAAACCAAUCCCUCAAAAAUGUGCAUCUUGGAUACCAAAAUGUAAAAAGUGCAUUGUAUUUGGUUUAAGACCUGGCAGACCAGUGGACCAUACAUGUUUUUUGCUGGACAUAUGUAUCAUGCCAUGACUUUGCUUCAAAUUUCACAUGUUUGAUGACGGUCCCAGCCUGAACUCUUAUACACAUACCUUCUUGCCAAAGUCAUACUGCCUUUUGAUAAAAGUGUUAAAAAGAAGGUUAAGACUCUAAAUCAUAGCCCCACCUACUGGUGAAAGACAUUGCUGUUGGUGAUCAAUAUUACACCGAUGACUCAGUCCUUUAUUUGUCAGAGCUCCUUAACAGACUAACUUUGAUUUAUAACCAGAAUGCACCAUCUAGCCAUUUUUAAAAUCAACCCUGGCUAACACAAGUGAAUAACAUUCUGAAGAUUUUUGACCAUAUGACAAGACACCUCAAACAGAUAUGCAAACAUCUUUUUCUCUCUUCUUCUCAUUUUAUCUUUAAACGAUUGUUACACAAUAUAUUCUGUGUGCACAUUGUAAGAUCUCAGCUUUCGAAGAACGCCUAAGUCCACAUCCCUUGUUCGUUAUAAAACACUGAAACCACUUAUUCAUCAGAGCUGAAUUGAAUAACAGAGGAAGAGCCACCAACUGAGCCAAACAUCUGACUUCAAUCAGGAGCUGGAAGAAGCCUGCGCCAGGUUCAGUGUGAUGUCUGCCAAGGAGAAAAAACCCUCCACCACCAUCCGCCGCCCUCCCAGAACAACAAGAGGUUCAAAUGUAAACCACAGGCCUCUCUGCAGGAGGAGGAUGGAGUCAUGUGUCCUCCCUCCCUCUCUCUUCAUCCUCGGCUAUUUUUAUCCCACAUUUUCUGAUCCAUUAUGUAUUCUCCAGGUGCAGCACCCGCUUAUAUUCUCAUCUACCCACCUACCGAGAGAGACGAAGAAUGAAAUUAUGGCUCUCCACUGGCAGUAAUUGUAUAAGAGGCUUCCUGGUCAACUCUAGAGGACAAAGAGGAGGAUGAGGAGGACAAGGGACAAAGAGAAAUUGAGUUUUUUACAAAAUGAUGUAAUAAAAAGUACUCAGAGUUGACCCCAAACCAAAGGGAUGCAUUGUAUGUAUUUUGAUGGACAGAUUGGCUGCACUGUGGGUGUAUAUACCAUGGAUUUUGUUCGUCCAAUAGUCCAUCAAGUGAGCAAGAGUUAAACUAGACAGGCCAUGAAGUCAAGCUCAGCCCAAUGGACCAGCUGAACUUAUCUGCAGCUCAUACUAGCUGGUCUUAUCUGCAGCUCAUCUGCCGCAUAGCUAGGUGAAGCCACUCUGACAACAGCACCCUCUGGUGACGGGCUGCAGUAUAGGUUAUAAAUCCUGCCUCCUCCAGCAAAGCUUAUGUGGCUGUGGACAAACUUUAGAAAUUUAUUACACAGAAUAUAAUUUUUCUCCCCCCUGCUUGUGAUGUUGACAUGUAGCCACUGUAAGACUGCUUUGUGCUCAAGUCCUCUUUUUUUAGUACAGCUCCAUUUUUAAAAGUUAUUAGGGGGUUCAAGUUUUCUAUGAUUGACACUUGAUACAGCCUAUGGGUGUACAAAGAUUGCAUAACUCACCCAGGGGAUACGCUGUUUGAGCCGAGCGUCAUCACAGCGACUCCCAGCGACUCUCCUGCCGAAUGUGCACAAUGCAACUGCUCAAGUGGUGGAGUGCGUACAAUGCUACUGCGCAAUGUUGGUUUCAGGAAAUGGAGAGAAAAUGUGGAAUUACUGAGAGCUUUUUGGCUUCAAAUCAGUAUACUGGCGGAAGGUGGUACCAAGUUGUCUAUAGUAUAUACAGUUUAUGGCUCUUUCAGAACAAGCCUUAUCUGAAAAAUGGGGUUCUGGAAUGUUGAGUUCUGGAAUGCUUAGAUCUACAAUUCUGUGUUCUAGAAUGCUGUGUUUUGAAUGUUGAGAUCUAGAAUGCUUCGUUCUAGAAUUCUGUGUUCUAGAAUGCUGUGUUUUGAAUGUUGAGAUCUAGAAUGCUUAGUUCCAGAAUUUUGUUUUUCCUGAAUGCUGUUUUGAAUUUUAAGAUCUAGAAUGCUUAGAUCUAGAAUUUUGCUUUCCAGAAUGCUGUGUUUUGAAUGUUAAGAUCUAGAAUGCUAAGUUCUAGAAUUCUGUUUUCCAAAAUGCUGUGUUUUAAAUGUUGAGUUCUAGAAUUCUGUGCUCUAGAAUGCUGUGUUUUCAAUGUUGCGAUCUAAAAUGCUGGCUUCUAGAAUUCUGUGUUCUAGAAAGCUGUGUUUUGAAUGUUGAGAUCUAGAAUGCUGGCUUCUAGAAUUCUGUGUUCUAGAAAGCUGUGUUUUGAAUGUUGAGAUCUAGAAUGCUCAGUUCUGGAAUUCUGUGUUCUAGAAUGCUGUGUUUUGAAUGUUAAGAUCUAGAAUGCUUAGUUCUAGAAUUCUGUGUUCUAAGAUGCUGUGUUUUGAAUGUUGAGAUCUAGAAUGCUUCGUUCUAGAAUUCUGUGUUCUAGAAUGCUGUGUUUUGAAUGGUGAGAUCUAGAAUGCUUAGUUCCAGAAUUUUGUUUUCCUGAAUGCGGUUUUGAAUGUUAAGAUCUAGAAUGCUUAGAUCUAGAAUUUUGCUUUCCAGAAUGCUGUGUUUUGAAUGUUGAGAUCUAGAAUGCUAAGUUCUAGAAUUCUGUUUUCCAAAAUGCUGUGUUUUAAAUGUUGAGUUCUAGAAUUCUGUGCUCUAGAAUGCUGUGUUUUCAAUGUUGCGAUCUAAAAUACUGGCUUCUAGAAUUCUGUGUUCUAGAAAGCUGUGUUUUGAAUGUUGAGAUCUAGAAUGCUUAGUUCUAGAAAGCUGUGUUCUAGAAAGCUGUGUUUUGAAUGUUGAGAUCUAGAAUGCUUAGUUUUAGAAUUCUGUGUUCUAGAAAGCUGUGUUUUGAAUGUUGAGAUCUAGAAUGCUUAGUUCUAGAAAGCUGUGUUCUAGAAAGCUGUGUUUUGAAUGUUGAGAUCUAGAAUGCUUAGUUCUAGAAAGCUGUGUUCUAGAAAGCUGUGUUUUGAAUGUUGAGAUCUAAAAUGCUUAGUUCUAGAUCUUUGUGUUCUGGAGUGCUGUGUUUUGAAUGUUGAGAUCUAGAAUGCUUUAUUUUAGAAUUCUGUCUUCUAGAAUGCUGUGUUUUAAAUGUUGAGAUCUAGAAUGCUGGCUUCUAGAAUUCUGUGUUCUAGAAAGCUGUGUUUUGAAUGUUGAGAUCUAGAAUGCUCAGUUCUGGAAUUCUGUGUUCUAGAAUGCUGUGUUUUGAAUGUUAAGAUCUAGAAUGCUGAGUUCUAGAAUUCUGUGCUCUAGAAUGCUGUGUUUUGAAUGUUGAGAUCUAGAAUUCUGUGCUUCAGAAUGCUGUGUUUUGAAUGUUGAGAUCUAGAAUGCUUAGUUCUAGAAAGCUGUGUUCUAGAAAGCUGUGUUUUGAAUGUUGAGAUCUAGAAUGCUUAGUUCUAGAAAGCUGUGUUCUAGAAAGCUGUGUUUUGAAUGUUGAGAUCUAGAAUGUUUAGUUCUAGAAUUCUGUUUUCCAGAAUUCUGUGUUAUGAAUGUUGAGAUCUAGAAUGCUUAGUUCUAGAAUUCUGUUUUCCAGAAUGCUGUGUUUUGAAUGUUGAGAUCUAGAAUGCUGAGUUCUAGAAAGCUGUGUUUUAGAGUGCUUGGUUCUGGAGGUCUUUAAAGUGUUCUGAAAUGCCAUUUGCUGAAAUGAAGUGUUUCAGACACAGGCUGAAAUUAGGAUGUUUUUCAAAGGCUCCAAUCAGAAAUAAGUAUGCAGUUUUUCUGCUAAUCCUACAGAGCUACCAGAGGGACAAUACAUAGACUGUCAACAAGGAAAAUACUCUCCGAGAAACGAUUUCUGACAAAUUCAUUUUAACUUUUGGAUGGUGCCUGUUUUUAAGUAACAACUCGUCAGUUAAUAUUCAUCCCACAAUGUUCAGUGUUUAAAUAAAGAGUGUGUGGGCCAGGGUCUUGAUUUUUGUGAUGAUCAACGUGUUAAAAAAGCCUCUUCUUAAUGAGCCUGAGUGAGAACAGAGGGCUGUUAUGUAACACGGUUGACCACCUGGUCCGUCUGACGGAUGAUACCCUCACACACCUCCAGCUGCAGCUCUCCACCAAUCACAGAGCAGGGAGGCUUUUCCAUGACGACGGGUUACCGAGCAGAAUCUCCUCACCUGCUGCCUUCUGCCUUCAGACUCAGGAAACCCCACAGAGACACUGUCUGAAGGGAGUAGCACGCACGCACACACACACACACACACACACACACACACACACUCUCUCUCUCUCUCUCUCUCUCUCUCUCUCUCUCUCUCUCUCUCUUAUCCCAAUCAUUGCACUGACUUAAUAUAUAUCAUGUUGCUUUAAAGUGUGUGUGUGUGUGUGUGUGUGUGUGUGUGUGUGUGUGUGUGUGUGUGUGUGUGUGUGUGUGUGUGUGUGUCUGUGUCUGUGUGCGCGCUUACGUGUGUUUGUAUGUGCUUCUAGCAGGCAAAACUGAGUCAGUCCCCAUAGUUUGUCUUCUAUUUUCAUUUUCCUCAUUUAAAUGAACUUUCCACCAGUCUAGUUUUCACAUACACCAUCAAGGGGUCUCCAUGCUAAGCGGCUAUAGGUGAGUUGGCUACUUGGCUUCUUGCAAGUGAUUGGUCGGAGUUUCACAUUUUUACACUCUUGUGAAUAAAGUGAGCAGUGCUUCAAAUUUGCAUCCUUGCAUAGACAAAUUUGAGCAAUUUGUCCAACAAAAAUCACAUCUUUACAUAAACAUUUUAUACGUUCUACUUGUGCAAAUUAUUUCAUUUGCAUGUGGUGUGAACACAACAUUACAGUCUGCACCUCGAAACGUCAUGAUGUUGUUACCCCCCAGUGUGUGAUUUCACAUUGCAUCACGCUGUUGCAGAAGCUUGUUAGCUCUCAGUUGGAGCCCCCACAUACACGCACAGUCAUGCACACACAUUGCCUGCCCCCGCCCUGCUGCCUCUGACGCUAUACAUCCCACUGUCUUUCCCUUGUUCGCCCUCUGUUACAACCUCAAAUGGAGGAUCAGAGGCUGAAUGACGAGCCACACCAUUACACUUCAGAGCAAUACAUGCUGCAGAAAAGGCGUAACAGGGGUGCAAAUAUCAUGCCCUCAGCAUUAAUUAUGUGUUAAUUGUUUCUGAUUGCAAUUUGCAAAGCGUUGCUGCAAGUAUUUGGUGAGGAAGGAAUAAAUCUUCAAGUUUUAGCACAGCAAGUCACUAGGUAACCUGGUAAGCUGGUAUCACAGUAAAGAUAUAUUGAACAAAUAUGAAGCAGCAGGAAGCAUACGCACUCCAACAGCUGUUGUCAUGCUGAUUCAGACAUUUGAAACUUGGGCAGAGAUAACAUAAAGCUAAAACAAUAAAUGACAAAAUCAGGGAAUCCUGAUGUUCAAACUUUUUCUGUAGUGCAGACCAAGGAUUUCUGCAGCCAACAGCGGAGCAGUAUCCAGAGUACCUGUCUUGUUUGAUGUGAUCUCUACACACAAUCACAGCCUGAUCCACAGUAACACCAGGGACAUGAGUUUGCCAUGUGGACGUUUGGCAUUGGUCCAAGUGAGUACGAAUCACUCGGCGUGUUGAUACUUGGUGCAUAAUAACUUCUUUAUCUAACCCUCAACAUGAAUGGAUCACAGCCCCCCACACCCUCUGCAAACAAGCUCUUAUUGUACUCUCACCUCUGGACCCCCCGACCCCAGUUAACCAGCACUGAGUCUGUCUGUGUCCCUGGCACGACCACAUUUCUACAUGUGACUAACAGCCCACCUGGGAGGUGUUAUUCAUGCCUGUGUUUACAGAAACACAGUGCUGCAGUAUGGUGAUUGAUCAUUGGAUCUUAGCAGUGUGCUGAUGGUGGUGGCGGUGCAGGUCAUGUGAUCUCCCAGGGUCAGUAAGGACACAGAGAAUAAGCUUUUGAACUCCUCUGACCUCAGCUGUAAACAGCCUUAUUUUAGCCAUGUAGAGGGAGUUUUCAGUGAUAGUUUUGGCUCUGUGGGCAGGUGUCAAUCCUGCCUUACAGUGGCCUUUGGUUUGUAUAUUUGGGUUUGGUGUCUCGUAUUUUGACAAAUAUAUCACAUAUGUAUCAUAUAUGACAAGUUUCUGAUCAGGUAAUUUUCCUCACUGAAGCACAGUGAUAUCACAGUUUACAAACCAUUUGGUGGUAGUUUUGGUGCUGUGGGCAGGUGCUGAGUCCUGCUGGAUAAGGAAAUCUGUAUCUCCAUAAAGCUUCUCUGCAGAGGGAAGCAGGAAUUUCUCUAAAAUCUCCUGGUACGAUUUAGGCUGCACUUACUCUGGACAUUAUAAAACCCCGUAGACUAACAGUAGAUGAUUAUGGAUUACGUUAAGAACUUAGAAUUCUCUUAAAAUAUUUAAUCCAAUGGGAAGAAAACCAAUUGAAGGUGUAAACCAAACUGACCAGGAGAGCUCAGCCUCCUUAUAUGACCUCCCAGCUUCUGCUGAUAGAUACCAGCAGAGGGAGAUUUCAGGUCACCAUUAGGUCCCAAUUAAAUGUUUAACCUUUGGUCUGGAUUUGGAUCUUUGUCUAUAACCUCAAGUAUCACGGUAUUUUUUAAAACCUUGUUGGUUUUUUGUCCUGAAAAGUCUGAGAAACAUCCAGAGAGUUCUUCCUCGGCCUCCACCCCGCUUAUUAUUGACCGCUGGCUGGCCGCUCACCGGAUGUCAUGUGUACUGUCUGAACUGCAUUUAUCAUCGCUGUGGCAAUACUGAGGAAUGUUAUUCCCCUGCUACACACAUGGACACACAAAAGACACAGCCAAACCACACAAUAGCUACACACACAUAAACACACAGUCACCGCAGUAACUAGUCUGCAGCUCUUGCAGUAAAUCUGAUUCCAGCAGAACAAAAGCAGGAUAAAGUUCUGUUCAAUCAGAUUUUACUAUGGGAGCUCAAACAGGAAAAUUUGAUACCUGUGGUCUUUAUGUGGCUUUAAUUUGAAAAAACAAGGAUAAACAAAGAAGGUUUGUUUAGUAAAAAAGCCCAAACUGCUAAAUGACGGUAACAUUUUUUAUUAUCCUCCAAUAUUUCUCGUCUCAGGCUGUUUGUGAAAAGCUAACCUAUGAAAGUGUCACCGUCUUUUUUGCUUAAUUUUAAACAUUUGAAACACUGUCAUCACACAGAUCCAGGGUCUUGUGUAGUUGUGCAUGUUAGUCGAGCCAAAAUUGCAUGAAAUCCAGUUUCUCGAACUUGGUUGAACGUACCUACAAAAUGCUGUUGAGAGUUGUUUUUCUCUUUCAUGCAUAUACCUCUUUUAUGACUCAAAGUCACUUAAGUAUUCUGAGUAUGCCCUACGGUUUGCAAAUCCAACCUUUACCCAUCAGUCAAACAGCAUAAAUGGUUUAUAAGAAGCUGGUCGGUGAACAAAACCUUGACUGAAGAAGAAGGAGUGUGAAAAGAGAUGAAGACAGUGUAUGGAAAGAUCAGAGCUGUGAAGAGACAGUUCAGUAGCCUCUUAUCAAUGCACAUGAGUAUUGUUUUGGUAUGCAGCGUAUUGGGUCAAGUGGGGGAUGACCCAAUAGUAACAAGCUCAAAGUGCACAUAUCACCUCAAGGAAGUUUGAACAGCAUAAAAGGGUUGUAUGAAGCUGAGUAGUCAAUGUAGGUUAAGGCCCUUUAUACCUUUAGGCAGGAACAAUAUUUUUGUGCAGCCUCCCUGCACCCAGAAAUAUGCUGCUGUAACUGCGUCUUUGACACUUGAACAGAUGCCUCCUCUAAAUUACAGAUCAUAUAUUUAGUUUACUGGUGUUCUCCUGGAAGCCUCGUGUUUUUCCCUUGUGGGGUUUUUCUGCCUCAGCAUCCAUCUGCACCCUCAUAGAUGAAAAUAGAGCCUCUCAAAAAAGACCAAAUUACAGAUAAAUUUUAGAAAUUUACAAGAUGCAUCAAACCAAAACAUGUGGUCGCCCUAUUUUUUUGUAUAAAAAGACAAUUUUAUUUUUCCUGGUCAUGCAGGAUUUCUGUAAAAUCAUAUUCCACUGGCUCCAUGAAUGUGUGCACAGCUGAUGAACAUAUGCCUGGUAUGAAUCAGUCAUGGCUGCAGUGGAAAUAUAUGUUAAACGUGGGUGGUUCUGGCUGCAUCUGUGAUUUAUAAAAGCUGCUAUAAUCAAAUAACUCAAACAGUGAAAUGUUCCUGAGGCCUUGCUUAAUGUGUAUAUACAUCACUGAUCAACACACUGCGUGGAGGUAUCAAAGAUCGGCGGCCAUUUUUCAACCGCUGUAAACAAACACAAGCUCCAACAAACGGGUCCCAGAUGUGUGCGGGAGUCAGACAUCAACACAGACCGUGAGCCAGUCACGAAACAAGAAGAAUGAACACUAUGGGACUUUUACAAAGUCAUAUGGGGGGGUUUCUAAACCUUAAUAAACCCUUGUGUUUCCAUAACUCUGUUUUUUUCUUGUUUAAGGGUCAGUUCACUUAAAUAUACAGAAAUAAUACUUUGUUUCAUGGACUCUGAUAUGAAAAUGUUUUACCAGCAUCAUAUUCUGGAGGAAAAGGAGUUGAAAAAUAACAAAGCACUGUCAGGUCUUUAGAGGGCACUCCCACGGAUUCACGUGCAAUCAGCGAUAACAAGUUGUCUUUAGCCAUAUAGGCUAACCAUAUAAGCAGUAGACUGUGUCCUUCCAGAGGUGGAAAUUUACUUCUAGACUUAUAAAAUCAGCAUGUCAUCAUCCAUGGUGUCAUCAGGGUGAAAUUCUGUCUGAAAACCUUUCACUUGUUCAUCUCUGCCAGUUUGCAUUGAAAUAUAAUCCACCUGAAACACAAAGUGUUUUAUUUUGAAAAGAAGCCGGAUGUUUUAUUUUGUGACUGUGCCUGACUUCCUCUCCAGCACAGGUUAAUCUGUGCUGAAUCUAUCCGGCAUGCUCCGGCGUCCGGAAAAAAUAGAACUCUUGCGAUCAGCUGUGGAGUCCAGCGAUCCGCAGCAGAAUGGAACGAAGCCGGUGGAAAUUGACGCAGUAACUUGAAUGGUUACGCUCAGCUACGUUCGGCGGAUACAGCCUUUUUGUAGCCAUUCCAGAUGCGGUGGAAAUUGCAGGUUAGACUCCCAUACGGCCAGAUUGAGUAUGGCAAUUUGGGACACCUGACAGAAGGCACUAAAGCAUCACUCUUAAUGUAAAUAUGUGACAUUUCAAAUGUGUUAUCAUUCCUCCAGCAAAGAACUAUGGUGAAUCUCAUAUAGAUCUGUAGAGUAAAUUUGUUGAGGUUAAUAAUGAUAAUACUGACAGAUUACAUAGCUGGAAUCCAGUUAACCAACUGAUAAUGUCAGAAAGUCACUAACUGGGAUAUAACUCAGCAGGACAGAUCUGCUUUUGCUCCUCUGUUAAUGGAUUUCUGUGAAGACUGGAGCUCCAGCUGAGUCCCUGUGGCUGCCUUUUCUUCUCUUUACUCUUUAAGAAGACUGAUUUAAAGAACUAAAGAGCUUGUCACUCCUUUUCAUCGUUUUUCCUUUUUGCUGUGCUGAGGACACAUUCAUCUUGACAUUUACAGACAAGUUUCAACGCUGAGCUGUUCAGAGAGAGACGUUCGUCCUUGGCUUUUCAGAUGUGUGAGCGUGCAAAAAGAGAGAACUUAAGUCUCAGCAGUCUUUAAAAAGUCUUCAAUAACACAACAGGCCUGUGUGUUGGAGUGACUCUGUCUUUCUUUGAUACAAAACACUAGUCUGCAACAUGAGUUCUGCUCGUCACUUUACCUCAUGUUCCAGGUUUCCUGCGUAGUCUUUUAAUAGGUACAGGGCUAUGACAAAAGCUGCUGCACAGAGUCAGUGCAGAAGUAUAACUCAGACUGAACUCACCUUGAACAGUGUGUAUAAAUGAAAAAUUUAGCUACAAACCAAAAACUGUUUUUUUCCAACCGGAGACGUUUUUUAUAUGUAUUUUUUUUUUCCAGGAAAAAAUCUGUGUUUCAAUAUGGGAUCUAAUGGGGGAUUUCUUUCUUUCACAGCCAGCCUCUUGUGGACACUUAGAGACCUGCAGUUUUUGGCACUUCUUUUGGCACAAAUUUCUUUAUUUUCUGCUCAGAAAGUUGCUGCUCAGUUUUAUUCUGUGGGGGCACUUUGGAUGGUUCCAGAUCAGUCGGUCUUGUCUGUGAAAACUGAGGAGGAAACUUGAAAUAUUACCAACACAUUGACUGAAAGUCUUAAGAGUUCAAAAACUCCUGCAGAGAUCCAAUUCUGAAUGAGGCUCCACUGUACUUUGUUUUUCACUUUCAGGCUUUGUUGGAUGGUUAAACUAUAAAAGUGUAACUGAGGAGUUUGAUGACGAGGGCAGCAGACACACACUUGGACCAAAUCUGAACCCCAAACAAACACUGAUCCAAAAGAUAAACUGUUCGUUAGAGAUGCCGGGAUGAGCACUGAGGGUUUGAGGCUGUCAGAUGAAGUCUACCCUGAUAUCGUCAUGGAGUGUCAGACAGAGAUGUGGAAAGUUUGAAAUCAGAGAUUAGCAUGCUGUGGCUGUCCGCAGACUUCAAAGAAAACUCCAGCCGAUCGUCACAUAUCGACCCGAGCUGCCACAAUCUUCACUAAGGCCGGCGUGUCUCAGCCUGCAGACAGAUUUUUAUCACAUUAAGACCUCGCUGCAUUGACAGCUGCUUGUCAGGACGCAAGAAACUUUUCUCUCAGAGGACUCUUCAUUCAUGUCGCAGAGGCUCCGACAAAAUACUGACACUGAGCUGCUGGAGCAAAUAUUUACAGAGAUAGAAACAUGUAAUCUCAAAGCCAUGUGUUCAUACUCAGGAUUUUAAGGGUUGAACGGGCUGGUGGGUCUUUACGAGGUAACAGGUGUGUUCAUCCGUGUGCUCUCAAGCUAAAGCCAGCCAAAUGUCAUCAUUUACACUGUUUAUGCAGGAAAUGGGUGUCUUUAUAGUGACCAAGAGGACUAUUUCACACUCUAGGGCCAUCCAGGGCUGCAAUCUGACUCUCUGGAAGGUCAAAUAUGGAUACCAAGUUUAAAAAGGAUGUAUUCAAAACACAGUAAACCGCUCUAGACUCUUCUUUAGGCUUUACAAUUGUGUGUUUUUAACUCGAAGUGGACAAAUAAAUACAACCAAUCCAUGAAAACAUACUCAAUCAAAAAUAUCCAUACUUAUUUACAGAGUUAGUCAGCUAAAGUCCGAGUUAGCCCUCUCUGUUGGCUAUCUAUGGCUGUCUAUCUGGAGUUUCUUUCUGCAAUGAGGGCAAAGUAAGGGCAAAUGUCCGUCUCACAUUAGGAUAAAUGUCACCAGCUGACAGGGUCACUAUUUUCAAAGAAACCCUGGCUUUCAAGAUGCUAACUAACAUGAGCCGGUUAACCUGUAAAGUCAUGGGUCAGCUCUGAGCAGCAGGAAGUCAGGGCCUCGUCGAACAGGUGUAUUUGUCAAAUGAUGGUAUCACCAACAAAAGUACAAAGCCAAGGCCCUGAGGUGGGGAGAGCACACCUCCCCUCACAACAUAAAAAAGAGGCGCUGGGGUGGAGGCCGGUUGCAAAGCGGUUUGCAGAGGAAGCAGGAACAGCAGGGUGGCUAGAGCAGUUUGAGUAGCAGCGAACACAUUGGUUCUAGCCUCCACCCCAGUUCACCAAGGUCAUCUCACUGAGUCUUUGCUGCUGCUCUUCCUUCCACAGCUAUUGAUGUAUACACCAUAAAAUAGAGGAGGCGUGUGCUCUCCCUGCUUCAGACUUUAGCAUUCCACAUACACACAUGGAAGGGCAGGGAGCUCUUAGAAUAGAGACAUGGAGCCUUUGCUGCAGCUCUACUUGCCUGGGCUUUUAUAAUCAUCAGAACCAGAGUCAGAAUCAGACUCAGAAUACUUUAUUUAUUCUAGGGGGAAAUUUUGUUCAGUGUGCACAUGGGGGGAGGUACUCUCUCCCUGUAUCAGGCUUUAGCAUUUCACAUACACAUGAGGAUGUGCAUUGAGCUGUAAGAACAGAGCCACACUGCUAUGUAUAACUUAUUACAUGCAGAUGAUAAAUACUCUUUGAUGAAAGUGCUCCUGACUCAAUAACAAUCCGAGCCUGUCAAACAAAAACAAGUCCCUUAAAGGUAACAAGACGGAUGUGUUGGCCUAUUUCACCACAGCAGCUCUAAACUCAGAUCUGUAAACACGAAACUCUCUCUUAAUUAGAUUUCAAAACCUUCCUCAAUUGAUCUAUAUUUACAGCACACUGUACAUGUUAGUGUAAUAUGUGUGUGUAUGUGUGUGUGUGUGUGUGUGUGGGGGGGGGGGGGGGGGGGGGGGGGUCACAGAGGCCCGUGCGAGCCAGUUUGGCUGCUGUCUCAGCAGAGCAGAGAAAGACGUGUAAAUCUUUGGCCUCAUUAGCCCCAUGUUUGACGAUCAGGUGAAUACACGCCCUGUUUAUGUUUCACAACAACAUACAGCAUCCCAACAUGCUGACACAGACCCCCAGAUCAAUCCGCCAAUCAAUCAAUUAACCAAUACGUCAGUCCAACAAGCCGAGCAUCAUGCUGACAGGUUAAAGAGCAUGCCAGACAACUUAGACAGUGGCUCGACUGAUGACCCCAGCUGACUGUGAACAGCUCACAACUGAUGAUAACAGGAAGAAUUGCAUUUCCUUUGCAGAAAACACGAGGAAAUGCUUGAUUUUUCAAGCUGAUAAAGCACCAUAAAUCAAGAAGUCUGGGUGGUGCUGUUACAGUUAUAAGAGCUGAAAAACACUAUAUGUAGUAUCAAAAAGGUAACAGACAAUAAUUAAAAAUUUCCUCACUGUUCACUGCUGUAAAAAUAGUUACAAUAAAGUUAAAACAUUUAAAAUGUAUGAGAGGCACAGAUUGUUGUUAACCCUUUUAAACAUAACCUAUAUGACAAGUUAAUUAGUCAUUAAACUUCCAGGCUAACUAUGGGUGUCUUUAGGCAUACUGUUUGUACCAUAGACUUUAUAUAUAGAAUAGACACCAUCUGCCUCCUCGCUGGGUGAAGCCACGGCAAGAACAGCACCCUUUGGUGACGGGCUGCAGUAUAGGUCAUAAAUCCCGCCUCCACCAGCAAUCCCUAUGGAGCUGUGAGCGAACUUUCGAAAUUUAUUACAAAGAAAAAAAAAAUUUUCUCCUUCCUGGUUGCGAUGUUGACAUGUCCUAUUUUUACUGUACAGCUCAAUUUUUAAAAGUUAUGAGGGGGUUCAUGUUUUCUAUGAUUAACACUUGAUACAGCCUAUGGGUGUACGAAGAUUGCGUAGCUCACCUGGAGGAUACACUGUUUGAGCUGAGCGUCAUCAUAGUGACUCCCUGUGACUCUCCUGCCAAAUGCAUAAAAUGCUACUGCAUAAGUGGUGGAAUGCAUAUGUUACUGAGAGAGUGGUGGUUCCAGGAAGUGGAGAAAAUCCAGGAAAUACCGAGAGCAAUUUGGCUUUAAAUCUGUGUAGUGGCGGAAGGCUGAGCCAAGUUGUCCAUAGUUUAUACAGUCUAUGGUUAGUAUAAAUAAGGCUAAGGCUGUCAGCGCUGUUAAGCUUGUGCACUGAAACACACACAUUCUGAGUUAUAAUCAAACCAUUAUCAAUAAACAUUUUGACAAUAACAUCCUGGUAUUCAUGCACUCUUACCAAUGCACCAAAGUGGUCACGUGUUCCUUAACAGCCACAGUCAAAAAUAUUCAUCAUCGAUAGCAACAUGAAGUUAGCGCUAACGGCUAGCCUUGGAUGUUUACCAUCAAAGCAUAAUUUAGGGGCCAUUUUAUGACAACAAAGCUGUGUAAAAAGUAACACCCCUGACUGGGUCUAGUUUUUCUAUCAAGAAUUGAGGAAAUCAAAGUUUUUAUAGAGUUUGCACAUUCUGCAGAUUUACUCAGGCAGUGUCCCAGGCAAACCUAAAAGAGGUCAAAAUGUUUAAUCGGUACAAAUACAUUCAGGAAUGAAAAAGAAGACCUUAAAAAAUGAGAACUGAAACAACGCCCUUCACAAAGUUGUCUUAAAUUGCACACUUUAGAAAUAAAUGUCCUCGUAGCCUCAGAGCCACAGUUUCUAGCACAUUGCUGCUGCAGCAAACCACAGACAGCUUUUCUCACGUGUUACCGGAUAAAUAAAAACGCUUCGUCAUACUGUCACACUCCACUCACUUCCUGUUUUGGUUGUUCUUGAGCAGAUGACCGUUUUACUACAGGAAGUGAGACAGAGGUCUGUUAUGUUUUUUUUUUUCCCUCUGUAACCACAGCGUGACAGACAGCCAAGUUCACUGCUGCUGAAGAGGAAGUGCCCGUUAGCUUUGUUUUCAACGCCUUAGGUCAGCUGAUGUCGUUAAGGGCAAAGAUGAUCAUUACAUCAGGUGGAUGUGGAACAAAAAUGUUGAAGGGGGAAAUUUCAACUUUUAUUAGAACACAAAAACCUGUUUCUGGAUGAACCACCUUCUGUUGCUAAUUGUUCAUCAACAUAAACUCACCUAGUUUACCUGCUGGAGGGUAGGUGAUGUUCUGAGCUCAACAGCAAAGUAAAGCUCAACUACUGUAAAGAAGCCUUUGGCAUCCCACACCAGAUUCAGGUAGACCAGCAGCAACUGGCAUUGAAUCUAAUGUGAAGGGGCCACCUGUUUGCUAUUGCCUGUGCUGAUAAUAAAAGAUUGUAUAAGUUACUGUAUUCUGUUUUUUUAUAUGUAUUUAAGGAUAUCUCCACAUUGAAAACAGACAAGACCAUGUUGUGGAAGUCACCACAGGUUUUUGGACAAUAUUUUAGAUAAAUUAGCUCCCCUUGUACCACAUGCAGCAUUAGUAGAGAGAUGUUCAGUAACACAUCCACACUAAUCACUUAGUGUAAUGAUAAAUGCAAAGCUGUAUGGAGGACUUUUACCCACAGGAAGUGAGAGUGGGAGCGAAGAAGUGAGAGGAUUUUUAAGGUAGCUGGAUGACGUUAGUUCAAGUUGGACAGUUGGAGGAUUUUCCCGUUGUUUCUCUUGAUCUCAUGACCACAUUAACCCCGUAGUUGAGGUCACUCUGUGUUGUUCUGCAACAGCAAACGUCUCUGCUGUCUGUGGUGGAGACGUGUUACACACUUUGCAAUCUGACCGCAGAAACACAGAGGACUUACACAACCACUGCAAAGCAGCAUGAAACGGCUCUAAAGACAAGAGGAAGUUUAACAGAAUAAAUGUCACUGUAAGGUUAAAGAAUCCUCACUUCAGGGAAUAAAAGCAAAAGAUGUUAUGUGCUAUAAUUUUUGUUCUUAACAGACAAAACAAUGAAAUACAAACCAACCACAAAUUACACAAAUAGACAAAACACAUGAAAUAAACUCAUAAAAUUACGAAGAAAGACCAAAAACUUACAUUCAGAUAUAAGGCCCUUAAAAUAAAAAAGGUACCAGAGGAAAAAAUACAUAAUAAAUAUACGAGACAAAAGACUUGAGACAAAAACAAAAGAAAAAACAAACAAACGACCUCCUCUUUUUUGCGGCAGGACAGAAAGGAUAGGGGCCAAGAGAAGAGACAACAAAGAGACUCAAAAAGAGAAACAAAACAACUACAAAGAGAGUGAGAAAGAAAGACACACGCACACACACAAAAAAAUCAAAAAUGGUAAGUAUUAAAAUAAAUGAAGAGGAAAAACUCACAAAAAUCACAAAAUGACAAACAGAGAGAUACAAAACAACAGAAAAAAAACAUAAAGCAAACAACAAAUUACACUGAUCAAAUAAAAAAGUCAAUAAAUUACAGUCGCAGUUCAGAAAACCCAAAAAGAAAACAAACUACAAAAGUUAAUGCAAAAAGAAACACAAAAAAACUAUGGAGAGACUGAAAACAAAAAAGAGAAACAAAGAAGCACAACAAACACAAAACAACAACAAAGAUAAACAAAAGAAAAACACACAAAAAGACUGAGACAUACAACAGAAAAAGACAAAAAAAAAAAAAAAGAAGAAGAAGAGAAAAGAGAAGAGGGGAAAUAAAAAAGAGACAAAAAUGACAGAAACCAGUAAAAUUAGAGACCACAAACUUUACUGAGACAAAACAACUAAAAAGAGACACAAAGCUCUAAAAAAUAUGUAGAAACAAACAACAGAAAAAUUAGUAGAGGUUUAGACAGAAAUUAGAUUUUUUUUAGAUUUGAUCAAACCACUCUAUCAGCAGAUUGAUCUGUAUAAUAGAAUGAUUGUAAUGAUUAUUAUCUGUCAUUAGCAGUUUUUCACAGCGAGAAAAUUAGCACUCUUAAACUCUAAAUUUGAAAAGCUGCUUUAUAUGAAUGCAUUAGUUUAAAAAAAAAGUGUAAGAUUGAAUUAAGCUGCAGGUUUUUACAUGUUUUAGGGAUCCUGUGUGUUUAACGCUCAGAUUUUUGUGUUGCUUUGGAAACACCUGAUGAAACUCUGAUGCAAACCGAACUGAACGCUCUGCUCUCUCUGCUGGAGGCUCUUCUGGCAGAACUACACAGCCCCAACACGUCUCAACAAAAUAAAAGCCUUUUGAUGCCGACAUGCUUGGCAGGAUAAAUCCGGCGUGACUCUGGUGUUUUCUCAUUUGAUGUUUCUUUUCCAUCCCUUUAAUGUUUCUUCUGACUAAAGAUCAUUUUAAUCAGUUUAUUCAGACCUCUGCUUCCUCAUUCGCUCACAGCAUGUGAGAAGACAGCCGGCAGCAACACAGCCGACAUUUGUAUCAGGAUACUAUCACGUUUAAAAGCAACAGAUUCACUGCUGGUUAAAGAAGUUUUACUUUGAUACAACUCAGAUUGGUGUUUCUUACUUUAGCAGGGAGAUUGCACGUUAGCAUUAACUGUAAUGGCAGAAAGCUGAAGAGAUACUUUAAUGCUCUGAUUAAACAGGACUAUUCCACUUAGGGUACAUCUGAAACAAAUCAUGUAAGAUUCAGUGCUUAGUGAUUAUUUGAGUCAACCCUGUACUGUACAACGUUAUAUUGUUACAUAAACAAUAAAAGCUUUUAAAGUAAAAUCAUAUGAUGUGGUAAAAUCCACUCGACCUGUGAGUCAGUCAGCUUUCUGGUCUUCAUAUCUUUCUGCAACAUCCAGGGUCUUAUUUUAACCACAGAUUAAUGAUCAUAAUUACUAGUAAGCUCAAUAGCAUUAAUCCUUUUCUGAAGAGUAUCUGAGUCCUCUGUGUGGACGGGUAAUCUUGGUAAAUUGUCGAUCACAUACAGGAGGACUCUUCAGGAAGUUUCAGGAAGUUGGCUUCGGGGAAAUGCAUAGUAUUGGUAGAAAACCACCCAAAAGCAGAUUUUUUCAUCAUGGGGGACCUUUAGGGCAUGUGUUUUGUGCAAAGUUAACAAAGUUAAAGUUUGUUAUGACCCAUAGAGAAGAUGAAACUGCACAGGUUCUUCCACCUUCUUCGAUGAAAGUCAAAGUAGUUUUUUGCUUGUAUCUGGAUUUGCAGCUUUUUUCUGUCUUCGUAUUUGCAGCACUUUGCUCUUCACACAGUAGUGCACUGCAGAUGAAAAAAACAUGCAGUAAAAAGCUACAUCUGUUUUGGAGGUUUUGCAGCACAUUUCUCCUUGUGCAGAUAGUUUUUGGUACUGAACAUUUUGCCCCAAAUAAAUGCAAAAUAGCUCAUUUAAAUAUGUAUGAUCAGCACCAACAAACAGAGACAUUGUUUGCCCUGCAGCAUAUUUUUAAGUGCAUUUCAUUCUUUGCAUGAGAAUGCUUGUGAUUAACACAUUAUAUUUUGGUCGUUGUGUUGUGUUGUGUUGUGUAGACAAAGGGGUGUCAGCAGCCUGCAGAGCAGUGCAGGUUCACAGCCCGGACUCUGCAGGAGGUCGCUGCAGAAUGUUUUUCCUGGAGGAGUCAAUCACAGGAAGACGUGACCGUCCUCUACGUCCACACCAGUGUUUGCUUUUUCAAGAGGUUUACCCCAAGUACAAGACUCACUGCAGGGGUGCGGGGGCCUCCGAUACAGCUGCAGAAUUUAAGCACCCGGUUCUUUCUGUCCUUACUUUCCUCUAUCUUUCCUUCAUUUACAUCAAUCAGCUAUAACAUCACAUGUGACUCUGCUCCGCGCUCCUUCACAGCCACUAAACCCCCAAUUCACCUUAUUCAAGCUCUUUGAGCAUCUCAUUAAGACUUACGGGCUACAUUUAUGUCUGUUGCAGGGCAGCGAGACAGUGAAAUUACCUGGUUCAGGAAAGCCAGCAAUAAAAACACAUGGAGACCUUUAUCUUUGCCCCCCUUGCCACUAUCUGGCAGUGAAGUUAGUUUUAUUCUGUGGCCUGAGCAGCCAUUCACCUUCACCACAUCUCAUUCAUCAGCUUCAGUUUCAUCGUCCUCUAUGAACCACAUCUGUCAGCUUUACGACCCUACAUGUCAGAAAUCUGCAGAUUCAUGAGUCUGAACAAUAACAACCUUGUUACAGCUGCCCAGCCGAGUGUCUGCCUUUUUAAACAUUGCUUUAGAUUGUUUGUGAGCAAAAUAACAUUUUAAAAAAAGUAAUACAGUUAUACUUUUAUCAUUCCUGUGUGUUUGUUUUGCAUUGCUUGUAAAGAACUCUCUCGGCUUUAAUAACCAGAUGUCCAGAGUGAUCCUGAACACACCAUGACAGGUUUUAAAAACACUUUAACCAACUCCACACCAAAACAUGGAGACGUGCCUCUUUUCUUUGGGAAUGCCACCCACAUAUUACCUGCUGUCACAUUCAAACACACACACACACACACACACAGACAAACACGCACGCACACGUACACACUGCUGGGUGUCAGAAGGUAAUAGUUGCAGGUUGGCGUUGUGAGGUAUCCAGUCGUUCUUUCACUUCCUCUAUCACUGUUACCCUGCAUCUGAACAAACAGACUGCUCUGUGUGUGCAUCCAACACACACACACACACACACAUUUUACAGAAGAAAUGUCUAACAAGAUAUCUAAGACAAGAAAAUAAUGUUAUCCAUGGGAUUUUGGACUGUAUUAAUAAAAUAUAAAAGUUAUUAAUGGUCUGUCAUUAGUUACUUUUUUUCAGUUAUGCUAAUUAUUUCCUCCUUUAAACACAAACGUUAUUUUGUCUCCGAUAAACAGGAAUUUUGCACAAAGUCAGAUGACAACAUGCAUGUUAGACAGACAAAAGACUGGGUCAAGAGUCUGCACUUCUGUAUCACUCAAAAUUCGUUCCUCAGUCCACGUUCCUCUCUCCUCGAUCCUCUCUCCUGGUUCCUUUCUGCUCCACCCUCUUUCCUUGGUCCUCUCUGCUUAUUCCUAUCUCUGUGAUCCUCUCAAAUCUUGUUCUGAUAUUGUACAUUGGAUCACAAACAACCUGAGAAAAAUCAAAUAGUCCCUAAGGAUUUCAGGUCCUCUGUGGAUCUGUAUGGGUCUUGUGUAUUUGGGUUAUACUGGAUUAUGAACAGAAUUUUAAUUUAACGUCAUUGUUGGCGUCUUUGUUAACAGAUUGACGAUUAACUGAGAUUUUGGAUGACAGUUGCCUUAUCUACCUCUGAAGAUGUGUUGUCAAAACUUUGAAAGGAGAGCUGGACAAGGACAGAAAUGUCAACAUAAAUAUUCCUGCAGACGUCACACAUAAAAAGACUUUCCUGAACUUUUUCUGGCUCUGAAUGAUGGUUAACUGUUUGGAAAAAGUGGUCGUCCUGCUCUGAUUGUAGAAGCUGAUUGGUUGUCAGAGCAGAGUUGAAUUACAGAGCGGCGGGUUUGUGUCGUCCUCUGGCCGUCCUGCUCUUCAUCAAAAUCAAACGAGCUCAUAAAUCUGAUGGACACAAAGUGGCUCUGCUGCAGCUCCAGGCCCAAACAGUUCCAGUUUAAACGGCGGAGGAUUUAAACCGGGUGAUGUGUUGGCGCCGUGGGAGCGCUCGGCUGCUGGCAGGUUUACGACCCGGCUGCUGCAGCCUUCUGUUGGAGGUCUGGAUGGGCUGAGAGCGUGGCCGUCAUCAGUCUGAUUGAUGCCUCUGGAGUUUAAACAGGCAGAGCUGCUGUUCACCUUGACUUCAGGACUGAUAAAGAGGCGAAGUGUUGCUCUCUGAGGUCACAUGUCCUGUUAUCAGGGUGUUUCAAAAGCAAUUAAACAUCACAUCUUAAUCUAAGUUCCUCUUGACGGAGUGAGAAAUUGGCUUAUAAUUUUUACGUCACGUUUAUGAGAGACUUCCAAAGGACAAAACAGGAUUUUUGAUAUUGCAGGAUAUCGUAUAUUUUCACAACCAAUACUCCAAAACCACCAGGGCACUGUGUAUUAUGUUGAUAAAAACAGAUUUUGAUGGUUUACAGUCUUUACAUAAUCUUGUUUUUUGUACUUUUCUGAUCAAAUUAGGACUUACAAUGUUAUGCAAACCAUCUCAAUUGUUUUUUCAUCAUCAUUUCAACAUCCUAACUUCUUUGGUAUUGUUAGACCCCAGCCGCUAUGUGUUGACUGCUCUGGGAUUUUUAGAGAAGCAGAGGCUCAUGGGAGAUCUCCAGCAAACUGAGCCAAGUAAACAGUGAGAUGUUUGAAUGUGAUCCAUGCUGCUCGCCUCAGAGAUGUUUUCUCUCCGCGGGGAUCAGAAACAAAACACAGCUGCCAUUUUGAUUUUGUUUUGUUUAGAGACACCAGGAGAGUCCACUCAUGGGGUCAAAGGUCAUCUGUCUAGAUAACCUUUCUUUUCUUUGGGAGUGGAGUUUAAUUCUUCAUCCUUCUUCUUUCAGGGACGUGUUGUUCCUGCUGAUGAUCUAAUCUGAGGAUGGAGGCUACUCAGCGUCAGGUAAAUACAGACUCAGCUGAUCAGUUGGGGAUGAGCUGAAAAACACAAUUUACAGCCUCGUUGUCAAGGAAACAACACUGAAUUCGCAGUGAGGUGGCUGCUUUGUGUUUGGAAAAGAUCUGAGUUUGUUCAGUCAUUUGGAACAGGACAGAGAUACGACUUCAUCUCUGUCUGAGGACUCCAGAAAGAGGUGAGGAAACAGCUGAGCCUGACUUUGUUCAGUUUAGUCCCAGCUCUCUUUUCUUUGAUUUAGUGCAUCUAAACUCAUGUGUGUCCUGAGCCUAGUUUGAUGUUGCUCAUGAAUGAAUGUGAGUUUAAAUCACCAGGUUUCAGCCUGUUGGUGCAUCUUCAGGAUGGAACAGGUCAAAGGUCACACUGUCAGCAUUUGUGUCUUUUUCUGCUGACCUCUGCAAGACUUCCACUACAGCUCAAUCAUCCUUUCUUCCUCAGAUACUGUACACUUUCCUCCUCCUCCUUUUCACCCUUCCUCCUCCAUCCUCAGGCGCCACAUCCGUCUCACAAUUGGGUGUGAUCCUGGCUGGUAACCAUGGUGACAGCUGCCUUAGCCAGCCAGCAGCGGGGGAACAAACGUGAGGACUGAUGAAGGACGAAGGAGGAGGAGGAGGUGUGUGUGUGUGUGUGUGUGUAUGUGUGUGUGUGUGUGUGUGUGUGUGUGUGUGUGUGGAGGAUGGUGGGAGGGUGUCAGAAGGUGAAGACAGCCAGCUGUGUCCUCAGAGGCAGGCCACAGGUGUGUGUGUGUGUGUGUGUGUGUGUGUAUGUGUGUGAGCUACUGCUGUUGGUCUCUUUGUCUUCUGUUUUUUGUCUUCAAGUAUAAAAAUGAAAACAACAGAUAUAAACAUGAUCCAGAACAACAAAGUCAUAUUUUAGACACAGUUAAACCAUGAAAUGGGUACGACUGUAAUCAAAAAAUUAACCAAUUAAAAAUGUGGACACGCUGUUUGUUGUGAACAACAACAUGCUGGCCACAGUUGGUGUCGGUUUUUUUGCUGGUACCAACAUUGUCACCUCAGACUCAGACUGUUUCAACAAUCAGAGCCGACCAUGUAAAGACAUAAAAGCCAAGACUGUGGGAAUAACACCCAGAUUAUAUCCUCCCACUCACAAACAUACUGCUGUAACAGAAACUGAAUCACUUUUUAACCUCUGCAUUUGAUUGUUUUGUUUUUAUGUCUCAGCAUAUUUUGGUGCUUUUCUGUCUUUGCGUUUGUUUGCAUUGGUCUUCACCCCUCCCAACAACAUUCAAAAAGCCACUUGAUAAGACGCUUAUCAAGUCCUGCCUUAAACGUUCCAGUUCAGCUGCUUUUUCACUGAUAAAGUAAGACACAGUUGGGGGUGAUACUUUUUACACAGCUUUGUUCUCACUGAACAAACCUCAAAGAAAUAUGCCUCGACAGAAAACAUCUUGGCUGUUUUUUUAUUGAUAGAUAGUAAGAUGCAGCUUGACACAGUGCUAUCUUUAACAGAGCUUUGCAGUCAUAUUAGAGGACCCGACAAAUAACAGAAUACACCUGAGGCUAGCUUUUGGUGCCCACCAACUCUCCAUUUUGCUACGUUAGCUUACAAUUACUGUUGGUACAUUGGCUGCUGUUCUGAGCUUGCUCUGAGCCUUUAUGAAGAUAUUCAUGAAUGAACAGCUUCAGGUUGCAGGUCCAUGAAACGAUAAUACACAUAAAGAUCACACUGCCAUCCGUGUAUCUCAUCUUAUGGGCCAUAUGGGUUUAUUAUGGACAUUCAACAUUGUUAUUGAUCAGUUUACUGUCUUUUAAUUCACAGACUGGGUCGACAGCACACACUCCUAAUUACUUACUUAACAAAUUUUUUUGUGUCUGAAUAUUUCCCAGCAGAUCUGCAGAGGCUUCAAAGAGUCUGUUUGUGUUCAAAAUGUUUCAUGGCACUUUCCGAGCCGUCUGUCACAUAAAACCAGCCGUUGUUUUUCAUGCUAGAUGUAAGAAUUUAUGCUGAUGAGUAAUCUCACAACACGAGAAACAGAGAGAGAGACGGAGAGGAAGAGAUAGAACCAGGGAGGGAGAGCCAGACAUGAUGGAGGUCUGGGCAGGAAGAUAAAGGGGCAAGCCUUCACUCGCUUCCUCUGCCCAGCGCUCCCCCACUCUCCCCAUCGACAACUUUCAUCCAACCCUCACCAAAGACAAUUUUUCAAAGCGCAGGAAAAGUAGGCCAUCAAGUUUGGAGAGAGAAAUUGGGAGAGGGAAAAGUGAGAGAGAAAAUGAAGUGACUCAAAUAAAGUGAUGCUAAGCUUUAACCCACAUGAGGUGAAGCUCAGAAAAAAAGGGUGUCUGUCAAAGUCACACUUAAACAGAUCAGAGUGGUGAUUCGUCCAAACAGACUUUUUUCUGUUAUUCAAAUUAAAAAAAAUCCUAAACUUGUCCAAAAUUAAAUAUUCAGGCAGAGAAAAGAAACAUUUUUUGGGUGCCUAUGGUUGUUCAAAGUCUUAAUCUGGUAACUAGAGUCUCUUUAUGUUAAGAUACAAGGUUUUUUUUAACAUCAUUACUGAUUUUAACCUUUUUUCAAUAAUAUUUUUGCAGCUUUUACAUUUUUAGACCAAAACCAAUACUGGAUGGUCCUGAUCUUAGGCCCACAGGCAUUAAAAUUAAAAAUAGACAGGACUCUGUAGUGGAAAUCACCGCAUGGGCUCCAAAUCCCUUCCAAAAACCAUUGUAUACUAUUGUAUACCAUCUGACCUUCUUUUUUGAAACCAUGGAAGCUUCAGCCUACCCUCUGAAGAGUAGGGGGUCCACCUGGCUUGUUAUCAGCCCCUGGUUUUAAGCCAGAAUUCAUGGUGGUCCACAUCUGUGAAGACCCCAUUAAUGCAGAACAAUAUCUACAGGUUUAGGAGUAACAUCUGCUGCAAUCCAGACAAAGGCUUUUUCAGGGAAGACCUUCAUAUUUUAGCAAGACUAUGAUGAACCACAUUCUGCAGCAUCAGCAUGGCUCUGUAGUAGAAGAGUCCUGCUGCUAAACUGAUCUGCCUGUAGUCCUGACCUGUCACCCAUUGAAAACAUUUGGAGCAUAAUGACACCAAAAACAGAUCAAAGAAGACCCUAAACUGCUGAACAGCUGAAAUCCUCUAUCAGGCAAGAAUGGGACAGUAUUUCACUUCAAGUCCAGAAAUGGGUCUUCUGGUUCAACAACGUCCAUUGAAACAUCUAUUUAAAAUGUUCAAAUUGAAUUACAGGCUUAAACAAUGAGUAAGGUAUGAAGUUCUGCUUUCAACGUAAUUUUCAGUGUCCAGCUUUUGUUUGAAAAUCAGCUUGUGGUUUUUCUACUGUAUUCUUCAUCGCUAUAACAGGCCUUUGGCACUUUUGAGUCUGUCGGGAUAGCCUUGACCUCCUGGAUUCAUUUUGAGCGUCUCUAAGUCUGUUGAACCUUUCUUCAUGUGGUUGCCCUGGUUAACCUAUUCUGCCGAUGUCAAAAGAUUAUUGACUGAAUCCUCCACUUAUGAUCAAUGUUCAGUUUCAAGGUUUUGAAAGCCUGUCAGUGAUGUGAAGUGGGGAAAGAUGUAUGAAAGGAUGGGGGAAAGAAAGAUGGAGAAGGCGAUUAGAGUGUUGCUUAAAGAGGGGGGGGCUGCUGGCAAAGUAAGUCUCUUAUCUUUCCAAGCAGAAACACAGAGAUUUGGCAGCAUGAGAUGUCUGUGAUGGAGGGAGGAGAUAAAAAAAAGACAAGAGAGCUAGAAUGAACAAAUGAACAAAAUCAUGACAUCUGCUCUUAAUAAAUCACCUUAUAUGGGCAUAAAAGUGACACCCCUCUCUGUUGCUGGUAAUUUUUGUCUCUUAUCAAAUCUUCUGGUCAGAUUUAAGGUCAAAAAAGCAUGUUGACCUAUUCAAUUAGCCACCAUUAUGAAGAAAGAAAUGGUGAACUCCUCGACAAUGACUUUACAGCAUUACAACAUAGAGGGAGGGCUCUGAAAAUAUGGGUUCCAGAAAGCUUUAUUCUGGAAUGCUAGUUUCUGGAAUAUGAAGGACAAAAGGAGACAGAAUGAAAUAUGAAUGAAAAAAACACACGGCUGGAUUUUGAAAUUAUUUACCGAUCGAGGUUUAAGGCGGCAGACACCCUCUCAACUUUUAAGAGUAGACUCAAAACUUGUCCCCUGUCUCUUCUCUCUCUCUCUCUCUCUGCCUCUUUCCCUGCUGCCCACUCCCUCACUUCCUCUGUCCCUCUCUCUCUCCAUGUUUCCCCCCCAGCUCAGCAGCAGCAGGUAGCUGUGCAACAUGAGUCUGGUCCUGCUUAUGGUUUCUGCCUGUUACAGUGAAGUUUUUCCUUGCUAUCGUCACUUAUGUUAGGUAGGAUGGGUUCUUGGGUUCCAGAAUGCUGGGUUCUAGGAUGCUAUUUUUUUUUUUUUUUUUUGUAGGAUAGUAGGGGAAGGUCCUGCCCUCCUUCGCCUCUGAUUGACUAGAAGUACUGGGCUCCGAUUGGUUAUUCCUAAUGGCUGUGAAACUUUAUCGUUUCAAAGACUCUAAUCUGAGAUGAUGGGAGAGUUUUUUGAGCGUAAAUCACAUGAUGCAAAUAACAAUGCCAACAUGAGGAUAAGGUAAAGAAUGAAAUCUGUAAAGUUACAGUAAAAAUACAGCUUUAGCUUUUUAAAACCAAAUACUUCAUUUGAAAAUUCCUCCCUUUGCAACAUUGGAGUCUGCUAUCUUAUUUGAAUUGACACACAAUCAAUCUUCUGAAAGGUCAUCUCACUCUGGAUGGUCCAGAUUCUUCUUUUGUGUAAAUAUAUUCUCCUUUAACCUCAAAACAAGAUGGUGUUGCUUGAAAUGCAGAACUUCCAGUUUCAAAACUGUCUUACCUACAUCCAGUAUCUGACAGUUUAUAGUACAAACAUAUUUAAACUUUGACCUUUGACCCCUGAGAUUUGACUGUUUGCCUCUCUCACUCGACAAGGAAAAAAAAUUGAAUGAACCUUUCAGUUCUGCAUUUCUGGUGAUCUUCUCAAGUCAGCAGACUCCCACAUGACCUCAGGCGGCAGUGUUUGUGUCUGAGAGUGUGUGUGUGGGUAUGCCUGAGAGUGUGUGUGUGUGAGUGUCAUAUUUGUCGCCAUGUUUAUUUAUGGUACAGCUCUUGGCAGCUGUGAAAAACACCUGCGGGGUGAUUGUCACACUUCGGUUUCAGCUGAUGAUUAGGUGUGUGCUGAAUAUGUAAAAUGUGUGUGUGUGUGUGUGUGUGUGUGUGUGUGUAAGGGUAAAGAAAACGUCAUCUCCGGGCUCUGUACUAGCUGUUUGCGUGUAAAUAGGGGUGUUGCUGCGGGUCUGGAAGGGGAGGGUGACGGUUGUUUUCAGGGUGACACUCUUUAUCUGAUUGCCCUGCAGAAGCAUCAGCUACAUCUACAAGAGUCCAGGCCCCCACCCGCUGAUUGGCCGCCUGGCAAAAAAGGGUGGAGCAAACAGCUUGACUUUGACUUCAUUUUAUACAUGACGGACAGAUGCACAAAGUCUGAAAGUGUUCCUGUAGAUUUCUUUAUCCUGCAGCUUGAUACAAACAGCAACGUAUUCCUCACGAGUCAAACUUCAUCUACUAAAUGUUCUUGUUUUUGUCCCUUACAGGUUUACAUUGUUAUUGUAUUUAUAGGCUUUAUUCGCCUAUUAGAGGCAGAUGGGAAUGGUGAUUUGAUUCGCCACAGCUCCAGAAAUUAUUGAAAAACUACAGAAUGUUACGAAAUGAUGUAUCUGCGCUCCCUGCUUGACGGGUAGAAAUGUGCAUGAGCGCCCCCGGCUUAGAAGGUUGAAAUGCUUACAUGCUGUCCUGGUUUAAAUGGGUUAAAGGUAUGCUUCAGAGUGUACUUUCAUAAAUUAAAAAGAGGACUAGAAGUUCAUUACUAGCAAAAAAAUAGUAUACCAAGAAGUUUACUUUAAAGUAUGCUUCAAGUGUACUUUAAUACACUAAAUUAGGCCAAUUUAGUCCCAAGAAGUUUACUUGUAAGUACACUGGAAGUAUGUUUGUAUCAGUGUACAAAGUAUACUUUGGGAAGUAUUCUAAAAUGAACUUCAGAAUACUUAAUAAAAUAUACUUGAGGUAAACUUUUUUUUUUGUAAUGUAAUGUUUGUUUCAGUAAGAUAAUUGCUGCUUCAAUCACAGACUCUGAUAUAACACCAACCCUGACAGUUCCGGUCUGUUCCCAUUUCAAAGAUUACACUUUUGUUUUUAACGCUAAAGUUACCGUUGUCAGGUUGAGACUUGGGUUACACAGAGGAACAUAAAGACCAGAAAAUUCUCCAAAAUCAAACACUGAUAUCUUUAGUGAUUGAUAGGGAACCUGCUGCAUAAAUAAAUAUAAAAUAAUAAUGUAAAAUAAUAAUAAUAAUAAUUAGCAGGACGUUUGCAGCAGCGAUCCAGAGGAACCUACAGCAUGAUGGAGCUCAGGGACUCCCAGGAAAGACUGUGUAUUAGUGACUCUAAUGGGACAUGAUGAUUCAAAGUUAUUGACACAGACAGAAAGAGGAUGGAGAAGGAGGUAAAGGUGUUCAAUGUGCCAGUACCCCUGGUUGUCUAGGCCUAUAGCAGCAUAACUAAGUGCAGGUCCAGGCCUGAACCAUCUCUAACAACAAAUUUAAUCAUUGAGGAAAGUUUUAAGCUCACUCUUAAAGGUAGAGAGGGUGGCUGCGCCCCACACCUUGACUGGUAAAUGAUUCCAGAGGAGAGGGACCUGAUUCCUGAAAGUUCUACCAUCCAGACUACUUUUAGAUAAUACAAGGGAGGUGUGCUCUCUGUCUUUAGGUACCUUAGCUUCUGUUCCACCUGCUGCAUCACCUCCCUCAACUGCAGAGUCAGGAAUUGGGUUUUACAUUUGUGGAUUAUGUUUAUUUUCAGGUCCUGGAGAGUCUCUGCCAGCUUCAGUGUUAAAUAACCCUGGACACCGAGAGGACAAACGGAUAAACCCACAGUUCAACCUGCUGAGCUGUCUGACACUCAACUCCUGAUCGGGCACAGCGGGAUGUUUCCAGGAAUCACACACACACACAUACACACACACACACACACACACACACACACACACAAAGACCUGUGCGUGCGUGUGGGGAGCUGCAGUUCCGACUGAUGGCUGAGAGCAGCAGUUUUCAUGGUAUCAGAUUAGAAUAAAGGAUUAGACGUUCAAGGGGAAAUCCUGGUCUGAUCCUCCUCCACCGUCAGAUCUCCAAGACCGUCCAGGAAACUGCAAACUGAUGAUUAUGUGUCUCCACAUCUCGGUGCUCGGUAUGUUAGGUUAUUAAUGAUAAUCAGACUCAUGAAAGUGAAUAAAAGAGACCCUCACUCAUCUAUUAAAACAGGAUCAAAAUCUGGCGCGACUUUUAACGAGUCUGAGCUUAAGAGCAUGACUGAAUAAUGUUACUGUGACAGCAGCCCACACUUUGACAUAGGGAAGAUGAACCUAACUAAAACAUAAACUAAUGACAUGAUAACCAGUAGCUUCCCCUCCAAAUGUUGGCUCGGUAUUUGCUAUGAAAAUUGUUAUGGCUUUUCUAAUCCAAAUCUGAUUUUUUGUAAAUCCAACAACCUCUCCAGACUAAUUGUUUUACACAAUUGUCUUUCAUCAAAGUGCUGCCUAGCAAAACAAAGUCACACAUAAUGAUAUUUGGUACCAAAAAGAAACUCAUAUCCAAUCCUGCAGCUGUUACGAGUAUCAAUGGCACUCCCCUCAUAAAUUUAAAAAUUUCAAAUAGAAUGAAAAAAAAUUAGGACGAGCGCCUGGUGAUUAGAAUCAUCUGCCUCUAUAUAUUAGAUCAAUUUAAUCCCCAGGAACUCUAAGAGUCUGUCGUCUUACCUGGAGUUGAACUGCUCUUGUAAUCAAUGAUGCCGCCACUGUGUCUAUCUGUGUAACUGAAUGUAUAUUGAGCCCCUCUCAGUCCUGUCCACUGAUUUAACUGUCCACCUUGACCAUCAUGUCUUUGUAAUAUUAUUGUUUUAUUGUGCUUGGUCUUUUUUCCCUCUUUGUGUCUGUGUCUGUAUAAUGUCUUUAAAUCAUAUUAUUCUUGAUGAUUUAUUUCUAAACUGCAGAGAAAGUGCUGAAAUGAGAAAAAAAAAAGAAGAAAACCGAACUCCACUUAUUUAAAGUUACUGAUUAUGAAUGACCUUUGACCUUCAAAUAUCCUGUUAUAUCCAGACAUCACACUUGAUAAAUCUGAAGUUCGUCUCUUAGCGACAGGCGGCCAAACAUCUCUGCUUAGUCAAUGUGUUGGUGUCGUCCCUGCUCCUGAUUGGGUUUCCAUCCUUGGCAUUCCCUGGCGCUGUCCCCCGGGUCAUUGUAGUGUCACGUUGAGCCAUCCUUCAGCGACACCUGAUCCUCGCCAUUAAUCAUUGCCCUUUGCCAUCCACUUCUCCUGAUAUCGUUUGUGCUAAACUGAGCGGCGAGGAAACCUGAGCCGAGAACGUGUUGUGUAGCAGCAGAGGGUUGGAGCAGCUCUGACCACCCCAGUCUAAGUAUAACUGACUCACAGGCAGGUUUACAUGAGCACAGGUCAGGUUUCUCUGGUUUUCAGUGACAGUCGUUACUGAGGAUGUAUGUGCAUAGUUUAACCCAAUGUGCAAGACAGAGAGAGCAGGUCCAUAAAAAAACAGAACUGCUUAAAGAUAAAGUAAAAAAUUUACAUGUAAGUUUAAAAAACUUAAAUUCAUUGGCAAUGGUUGAAAUUUUGUGAAAUCAAAGUCCCAUUCUUGAGGAGAAAAAAGUGAAAAUUACUGAUUUGAAAGAAAGUUCAUUCAGAAAAACAUUAAAAUUUCCCGUCCAGAAAAAAGUUGAAAUUUAGGACAAAAGAUUUGAAAUUCUUGGAGUUAAAAAAGUUGAACUCAAUCAGAAAAGAGUCAAAUUCAUGAACAAGAUAAAAGGGUGACCUUUUUUAAGGGAAUGUAAAAAAUUGCUGUCAAUAGAUGUUAAAUCCCAAUGUCAAUAAAACUUAUUAAUGAAAGAAAUGAUUGAAUCCUUUUUUGAAACAAAAGUUAAAUUUCAUCUAUAAAAAUUCAAAGAAUUUGAAAUUCAAAAGCAUUACAAAUUUGACAAAAAGUUGUAAUUUAGAAUGUUUUAAUUUUACUACUGUGAAUAAAGUUAAAAAUAUUAUUCAGAAGAAAAGGUUUAAAUUAUUCAGCCAGUAAAAAGAAAUAAAACUCAUGGACAAGAAAAAAAUGUUCCGAUUUAUUGAGAAAUUUGUCAAAAUUCACCCCUGAGAAAAAAAGUUGAAAGUUACUAAUAAUUCAAAAAAUUGGAAUACAUUAAAAAAACGGACAAAAUUCUCUGUUAAAAGAGGUUAAAUCUAUUGAUGACAAAAACAGUUUAACUGAUAAUAAACACACAACACCGCGUAAGGUGGGGACCCAGAAGCUGACUUGUACACAGGAGCAGGUAAGUUUAAAAACUUAAACAGACAUAUCAACAUAAAUCUCCCUGUAAAUAAUUUCUUUUACAAAGCUGAAAGAUCUGAAAACUGUGAGAAUCAAUAAACAAAGAUUCUGUGCAUCAUAACACAGGUACGCCACACACAGGUGUGGUGUUACUGGGGCCUCUGAGAGAGGCAGGAACAUACACUGGAGGUUGGUUGACAUGCAAAUAACAAAAAGAUGAAACAUACAUGCUGAAAAUAACUCUCAUCCUCUGAGAAAUGUCUGCUGAUGCUCUGUUGGAUCAGCAUCGUCACAGGAGCCCAAAGGUUGAAGGUAUAAAGUUCUCAUGAUGACCACAGUGAACACAGCACCUCCUUCUUCUCCUCCUCCACUGCAGUUUAAACAAAGUCACAGCUUCUCUUUGCUUCUUUCAUGUUUUAUUGUACAUGUAUGCUCAUUUAUUCAUUGAUAUGUGUUUACUCUUUCAGCAGCCGAGCUUUAAAAUGGGGACAAAUUGAGGCUGAGGGCGUUUGACACAGGCCUGGUUUAAAAAAGCAGAGAUAAAUUAGCUUCUUCUUUAUGAUUUUAAAGUAGGGCAGAGCGCCAAAUAAGUAAACAACCUGUGUUUACUGCAGGAAGUCUGGAAAACAUUUUAGGUGAGGAUAAAAAAAAAUUGGCACCAGAGAAUCCACCACAGGACGAGACUUCAUUUCACAUUUUUCUCUCUAUUUUUCAUAUAUUUCAACCCCAACACCAACUUCUGUUUCAGGGGACUCUUAUGUUUUUCAUUUUCUAUACCAAAGGCUGUUUGUAAUUCCUUUUUAAGACUUAAAGGGAUAUUCCGGUGUAAAUUUAAGUUAUGGUCAAACACACCAUAACACCGAGUUAGACACCCCCUUGAGAGAUGAAUGUUGCCUACUGCUUGCUUCCCUAGUUAUACCAACCUCAGCAACGACCAGCAAUACACAGUGGUCUACGUCUCCACGUGCAAAUCUUAACAAAAAAGCCACUUGUAGCCACAAAUAAUGUUCGGAACAGCACCUAACUUCAUCAACAGUACAUAGAGGGUCCCAGCCAUUGCACUAGCCACCAAACAUCUUUUUAGCUUUGCCUGGAUUCUAAACACAACUCACUCACUCUCCCUAGCAGCCGCUUGUUUGUGGGGGAGCCCUAAUGCAUCCAUCACGGUGUGCAGCAGAGUUUCGCAGCUCAAGGAAGAACAUUUAUGAUCAUUUCUUCAUGGAAAUGCAAUCAGAACAAGACGCUAAGGCAGAAGAACUACUGCGUCUGCAGUGCAAAAUGAUUAUUAUGAUGAUUAUUACUUCAUGGAAAUGAUCCACUGCACUCAGUGAUGGACUCGUCAGGGCUCCCUCGCUAACAAGCAGCUGCUGUAAGAGAGUAGGUGAGUUGUGUUUAGUCUCUUUGCUAAAGAAAUAAGGCAAAACUAAAAAGAUGUUUGGUGGCUAUUGCUGUGGCUGGGACCCUAUAUGUACUGUUGAUGAAGUUAGGUGCUGUUCUGAACAUUAUUUGUGGCUACAAGUGGCUUUUUGGUUGAGGUUUGUGCGUGGAGACAUAGACCACUGUGUAUUACUAUCGUGCCACCAUUGCUGAAGUUGGUAUAACUAGGGCAGCAAGCAGUCGGCAACAUUCUUCUCUCGUGGGGGUGUCUAACUUAGUGUUACAGUGUGUUUGACCAUAAUUUAAAUUUAUGCAGGAAUAUCUUUAACAGCCAUCGGAUGGUGAAAAAUAUCAUUCACCGUUUGUGGACAGUGUUGACUCAUCUGAAGGAUAAAUGGACUGAAAGACAUAUGAAGACAUUUUUUAAAGCAGGGACAUUGUUUUUACAGACAAGGAUCCAUUUUAAAACUGACGAUGGUUCAGGCAUAAGAGGGUGUUUCUGAAAAAGGGAGGGAUGGAGGAUGAUUGUGGCUUCAGUCUUUUUUAAACAUUUGUACACAGUCACCUUUUUGGCAGGUAGAGAACAUGGACGAUCUCAGUACCACCCUUUCAGUUUGACAAAUUAAACAUGGCUCUAGUCCAGGUAGGCCACAAAGUCAGUUUCAUAUCACAGUACAUCAGCUGAUCCUUGUCACUGAUUCUGCUCUGUCCUGAACCCUGGCGGUCUUUGCUACUGCUCUCCCAGCCUCAGGCUCUGGAAUUCCUUAUACGCAGGUAGACUGCCAAACAGACAAAUAAGUACUCCUCUGUAUAUGUCAUGAAUUAAGCAUUUAUUUGGACUUCAUUUAAAGCAUUUUUCCUUCUGUUAUAUGGGAACAGUAAAGCGUUAAAAAUAAAACUGAGACUCCCCGCAAAAAGAUGAAUGGGCUCCCUGUUUUGGACAAUGUUUAUUUUAGUAUCACUUUUCUGUGCACAAGAUAUUUGCUGAAACUUAAAGAUGUGCUCAAGUGAAAUUACACACCACUCCUUUAGAACUGGGUUCAUGCUCGGGACGAAAAUGUCAGAGAGGGUUCUCACUCUGGCACACAAGAAGAAAUGUGUGUGUGCGUGCGUGUGUUAGUAAAGGGUAAAGGGGUUCUUAUGUUUCACUGGGUCAGGGUUCAGAUGUUUAAAUAUAACUUCCUGUAUCCAAAAAAAGCUGCUUGGAUAUAGUUGAAGCAGGUGGGGGUUAACACAAGCAGGUGUUUGGGACAUAGAUGAAGCUAGUCUAUACGCUGCUGCUGUGUCUUUGGAUAAGAAUAACCAACAAGUCUACCCAGCAACCCCCUGUGCCCCCUAGAGAGCAGGGUGACAGGGUUUGUGUAGUGACUCUAUAUUUAACCCCCUCUGGUCUAAAAAAGAGAGUCCAUUUGUCCUGAUGUCACAUUUAAUGAAGACCACUGUGUCCUGACCAGAGGCUACAAAAGACACGACUGGAGUUCCUGAAGACGUCCUACUAUGAUGGUCCCCAUAUCAGAAAUGCUGACUCCAACCAGGGGUUUAUAAAUAAGAAAGAGGUGACAACGUACCUGCCUGGAGGUCAUACCGGCCUUGACCCAAAUGAAACAUAACUUUUAACCUCAAUUUCUUAAAAACAGAUGAGUUGUAAUGUAAGAGAACCCUUGCACAGUUUGACAAA